rnacentral:rRNA from 1 species
UACGGAAGGCAGCAGUGGGGAAUAUUGCACAAUGGGCGCAAGCCUGAUGCAGCCAUGCCGCGUGUAUGAAAAAGGCCUUCGGGUUGUAAAGUACUUUCAGUCGUGAGGAAGGUGUUAAGGUUAAUAACCUUAGCAAUUGACGUUAGCGACAGAAGAAGCACCGGCUAACUCCGUGCCAGCAGCCGCGGUAAUACGGAGGGUGCGAGCGUUAAUCGGAAUUACUGGGCGUAAAGGGCACGCAGGCGGUUAAUUAAGUUGGAUGUGAAAUCCCCGGGCUUAACCUGGGAAUGGCAUUCAAGACUGGUUAGCUAGAGUCUUGUAGAGGGGGUAGAAUUCCAUGUGUAGCGGUGAAAUGCGUAGAGAUGUGGAGGAAUACCGGUGGCGAAGGCGGCCCCUGGACAAAGACUGACGCUCAUGUGCGAAAGCGUGGGGAGCAAACAGGGAUUUACGAUACCCGU